AGAGCAAAGAGCAGCAGAAGGGGAAGGUCUCUCUCUCUCUCCUCCGGUGGGGUGGAGGUGCCAGGCACAGCCAGGGGAUGGAAGGACAGCCCUCUCCUCAUCCUGCCACCCCAAGCACCAGACUUGGCCCAUGCUUUCAUACUGCACACCUCUCCUGUCCCUUUGAAAGGAAUCCUACGGGCAUUCUAAAGCAGGAAGAGUUUGUGGAGUGAGCUGGAUCAUCAAAAUGAAACACUGAUUAAUUUUUGCAACACUUAAGGAAAAUGUCAGACAUGAAAAUGUUGUCCUGUGCCACCACUGUAUAUGCAGGGCUCCAGUGAUGUUAGAGCUCUGCUGGGCAAGCUUCCUUCAAAUGCUGCUCUCUGUCCUUUUUCCUGCUGUUGUUCUAUCACCUUUUUAAACCAAGUGGGACUCCAGGGAAGGCUCAGCCAUGAAAAGCUCCUUGCAGUCCUUUGCCUGCCCAUUGCUGACGUGGCCAAAGGUUUCUGUGCCAGGCCUCCCUUUGCACUGGGACUUGAGGACAUCUGAGUGUGCUUCUGGUUCUCAGGCUCAGCUUUGGUGUGAUGGACACUGUGCCCUGGAUCUCACCUUUGGUGUGAUGGACACCCUGCCCUGGACCUCAUUCUCACCUUUGGUGUGAUGGACACCCUGCCCUGACCUCACCUUUGGUGUGAUGGACACCCUGCCCUGGAUCUCAGCUUUGGUGUGAUGGACACCCUGCCCUGGAUCUCAGCUUUGGUGUGAUGGACACCCUGCCCUGGAUCUCAGCUUUGGUGUGAUGGACACCCUGCCUUGGACCUCAUUCUCAGCUUUGGUGUGAUGGACACCCUGCCCUGGACCUCACCUUUGGUGUGAUGGACACCCUGCCCUGACCUCACCUUUGGUGUGAUGGAUACCCUGCCCUGACCUCACCUUUGGUGUGAUGGACACCCUGC